CUUCUCCUAGCUCAGCCGGAAGAGCACCGUCGUCCGAAGGCGGAGGUCGUGAGUUCGAGUCUCACGGAGAAGGCCA
rnacentral:tRNA from 1 species